GUGGAAGUAGAUCAAAUGCUAACGAGGCUGAGCUUGCAGAUGCCAUUCCUGUGGUCAAGACCUCUAUUGGUGGCACCAGAAUAAUAGGAAACAAAAAUGGGCUUCUAUUGCCACAUACUACAACCUACCAAGACCCUUGAGUUGGCACAUAUCAAGACUUGAGUCAUUGGCACAACCGCACAAGAGGCAAAGCAAAUUCAAGGACCACAACUUGGUGAUUCUUGCAGAGAGUUACCUUCCAUGUUGAACCACGGAGUGAAUG